rnacentral:rRNA from 1 species
UUAGAGUUUGAUCCUGGCUCAGGAUGAACGCUAGCGGCAGGCUUAACACAUGCAAGUCGAGGGGCAGCGAGAUCAGUGCUUGCACUGAUUGUCGGCGACCGGCGCACGGGUGCGUAACGCGUAUGCAACCUACCCAUUACAGGGGGAUAACACUGAGAAAUCGGUACUAAUACCCCAUAACAUCCAGGGAGGCAUCUUCUUGGGUUGAAAACUCCGGUGGUAAUGGAUGGGCAUGCGUUGUAUUAGUUAGUUGGUGGGGUAACGGCUCACCAAGACAACGAUACAUAGGGGGACUGAGAGGUUAACCCCCCACAUUGGUACUGAGACACGGACCAAACUCCUACGGGAGGCAGCAGUGAGGAAUAUUGGUCAAUGGACGCAAGUCUGAACCAGCCAUGCCGCGUGCAGGAAGACGGCUCUAUGAGUUGUAAACUGCUUUUGUACGAGGGUAAACGCAGAUACGCGUAUCUGUCUGAAAGUAUCGUACGAAUAAGGAUCGGCUAACUCCGUGCCAGCAGCCGCGGUAAUACGGAGGAUUCAAGCGUUAUCCGGAUUUAUUGGGUUUAAAGGGUGCGUAGGCGGUCGGAUAAGUUAGAGGUGAAAUCCCGGGGCUCAACUUCGGAAUUGCCUCUGAUACUGUUCGGCUAGAGAGUAGUUGCGGUAGGCGGAAUGUAUGGUGUAGCGGUGAAAUGCUUAGAGAUCAUACAGAACACCGAUUGCGAAGGCAGCUUACCAAGCUACUUCUGACGUUGAGGCACGAAAGCGUGGGGAGCAAACAGGAUUAGAUACCCUGGUAGUCCACGCAGUAAACGAUGAUAACUCGUUGUCGGCGAUACAGUGUCGGUGACUAAGCGAAAGCGAUAAGUUAUCCACCUGGGGAGUACGUUCGCAAGAAUGAAACUCAAAGGAAUUGACGGGGGCCCGCACAAGCGGAGGAACAUGUGGUUUAAUUCGAUGAUACGCGAGGAACCUUACCCGGGCUUGAAAGUUAGUGACGGAUCUUGAAAGAGGUCUUCCCCUCGGGGCACGAAACUAGGUGCUGCAUGGUUGUCGUCAGCUCGUGCCGUGAGGUGUCGGGUUGAGUCCCAUAACGAGCGCAACCCCUACCGUUAGUUGCCAGCAGGUCAAGCUGGGCACUCUGACGGGACUGCCGGUAUAAGCCGAGAGGAAGGUGGGGAUGACGUCAAAUCAGCACGGCCCUUACGUCCGGGGCUACACACGUGUUACAAUGGCAGGUACAGAGGGCAGCUACCCAGCGAUGGGAUGCGAAUCUCGAAAGCCUGUCUCAGUUCGGAUUGGAGGCUGAAACCCGCCUCCAUGAAGUUGGAUUCGCUAGUAAUCGCGCAUCAGCCAUGGCGCGGUGAAUACGUUCCCGGGCCUUGAACACACCGCCCGUCAAG